rnacentral:lncRNA from 1 species
GUUGAAAGGCCCUUGAUAUUGGCAUCCUACUCAUGCCACACAACAAUAUAACCCCUUUCCCAAACAGAAUCAGCAAUGGACUGAGUGAUCUGAAAGGCUACUCUGGCAUAGAAGUGGAAACAGUCUUGGGAUUCCAUUUGGCUAUUCUGGGUUCAAGUUUGAUUUUUGCCACUUAACAUCUAAGUAAAUGAAUCCACAGCAACUUAACCCACAACACAAGC